rnacentral:rRNA from 1 species
ACGGGGGGAGCAAGCGUUGUUCGGAUUUACUGGGCGUAAAGGGCGCGUAGGCGGUCGUGACAAGUCACUUGUGAAAUCUCCGGGCUUAACUCGGAACGGUCAGGUGAUACUGUCGGACUAGAGUACAGAAGGGGCAACUGGAAUUCUCGGUGUAGCGGUGAAAUGCGUAGAUAUCAGCAGGAACGCCGGUGGCGAAAGCGGCGGACUGGACCUUUUCUGACGCUGAGGCGCGAAAGCCAGGGGAGCGAACGGGA